AGAGUUUGAUCAUGGCUCAGAACUAACGCUGGCGGCGUGCCUAAUACAUGCAAGUCGAGCGCGAAAGUCUUCGGAUGAGUAGAGCGGCGCACGGGUGAGUAACACGUGGGUAAUCUGCCCAGAGAUGGGGAAUAACUCCUCGAAAGAGGAGCUAAUACCGCAUAAGACCACAGCAUCUACGGAUGCAGUGAUUAAAGAUGACCUCUAUUUAUAAGUUAUCGUCUCUGGAUGAGCCUGCGCAUUAUUAGCUAGUUGGUGAGGUAAAAGCUCACCAAGGCUACGAUAAUUAGCUGGUCUGAGAGGAUGAUCAGCCACACUGGAACUGAGACACGGUCCAGACUCCUACGGGAGGCAGCAGUAGGGAAUAUUGCUCAAUGGGGGAAACCCUGAAGCAGCAACGCCGCGUGAGUGAUGAAGGCUUUCGGGUUGUAAAGCUCUGUUGUACAGGGAAAAUGUCGCUAUGGCUAACAUCCAUAGCGAGUGAUUGUACUGUAUAAGAAAGGACCGGCUAACUUCGUGCCAGCAGCCGCGGUAAGACGGGGGGUCCUAGCGUUGUUCGGAAUUAUUGGGCGUAAAGCGUGUGCAGGUUGUUUGAAAAGUUGGAUGUGAAAUCCUUGGGCUUAACCCAAGACGUGCAUUCAAAACUGUCAGACUUGAGUAUGGAAGAGGAUCGUGGAAUUCCUAGUGUAGUGGUGAAAUACGUAGAUAUUAGGAGGAACACCGGUGGCGAAGGCGGCGAUCUGGUCCAAUACUGACACUCAUACACGAAAGCGUGGGGAUCAAACAGGAUUAGAUACCCUAGUAGUCC
rnacentral:rRNA from 1 species